rnacentral:misc_RNA from 1 species
AAAAAAGAGAGUUAGAGUUAAUCUUAGAGCUCUCUAGCUAUAGCCAUGCCGAUCCGUAACAUUGCAAUUGGAAGGCCCGAAGAGGCUACUCAUCCAGAUGCUUUGAAGGCUGGGUUGGCUGAGUUCAUUUCCACCUUGAUCUUUGUUUUUGCUGGCCAAGGUUCCGGCAUAGCCUUCAGUAAGCUUACCGAAGGCGGCGCCACCACUCCCGCCGGUCUCAUCUCCGCCUCCAUCGCCCACGCCUUUGCCCUUUUUGUUGCCGUCUCCGUUGGCGCUAACAUCUCUGGUGGCCAUGUCAACCCCGCCGUUACCUUCGGUGCCUUCGUCGGUGGUAACAUCACCCUCCUACGUGGCAUCAUCUACUGGAUUGCUCAACUCCUUGGAUCCGUUGUCGCUUGCUUGCUCCUUAAAUUCGUCACCGGCUUGCCCACCGGAAGCUUCGCUCUGUCAGCUGGAGUUGGAGAAAUUAACGCCUUCGUUUUCGAGAUCGUAAUGACCUUCGGAUUGGUGUACACAGUGUACGCGACCGCAGUGGAUCCCAAGAAGGGCAGUUUGGGAACUAUUGCACCCAUCGCAAUCGGUUUCAUCGUCGGAGCUAACAUUUUGGCCGGCGGAGCAUUCACCGGAGCAUCCAUGAACCCGGCCGUGGCCUUCGGCCCAUCAGUAGUGAGCUGGUCAUGGAGCAGCCACUGGGUCUACUGGGCCGGGCCUCUGAUCGGAGGUGGGCUCGCUGGUCUCAUCUACGAGUUCAUCUUCAUUUCCAACACCCACGAGCAGCUCCCAACCACCGACUACUAAGUCAACCACCACCACCCACGGCGGCGGUGACGGCGGCCACUUUUUUCCUUUUAAUUUGGUGUAUUUGGUUUCGUUAAUUUUCUUUUUAUCGGACGGGUUUGAUCGUGUCUCAUUUGUGACCGUUGAUCUUUUAAUGAUUUGAUGAUCCUCAUCUUUAAUUUGUGGUCGUCGUCAUGUACCGUGCCUGGACCUACGAUGAUUUGAUUGAAGAUGAAAAUCAGGGCCAGGUUGUAAUUUAUGUUAUUCUGCUCCUGUCUGUACGUGAAUUAUUUUCAAGUCA